rnacentral:rRNA from 1 species
CUACGGGUUGCUCCAGUGGGGAAUAUUGGGCAAUGGGCGCAAGCCUGACCCAGCAACGCCGCGUGAGGGAAGAAUGUCUUCGGAUUGUAAACCUCUGCCCUUGGGGACGAAAAAAAUGACGGUACCCAAGGAGGAAGCUCCGGCUAACUACGUGCCAGCGGCCGCGGUAAUACGUAGGGAGCAAGCGUUGUCCGGAAUUAUUGGGCGUAAAGGGUGCGUAGGCGGCGCUGUAAGUCAGAUGUGAAAUCCCCGGGCUUAACUCGGGAGUUGCAUUUGAAACUACAGUGCUUGAGUAAAGAAGGGGUAAGUGGAAUUCCUAGUGUAGCGGUGGAAUGCGUAGAUAUUAGGAGGAACACCAGUGGCGAAGGCGACUUACUGGUCUUUUACUGACGCUGAGGCACGAAAGCGUGGGGAGCAAACAGGAUUAGAUACCCUUGUAGUC